rnacentral:rRNA from 1 species
CCUACGGGAGGCAGCAGUGAGGAAUAUUGGUCAAUGGCCGAGAGGCUGAACCAGCCAAGUCGCGUGAGGGAAGACGGCCCUACGGGUUGUAAACCUCUUUUGUCGGGGAGCAAAGAGAGUCACGUGUGACUCAUUGCGAGUACGCGAAGAAAAAGCAUCGGCUAACACCGUGACAGCAGCCGCGGUAAUACGGGGGGUGCGAGCGUUAUCGGGAUUUAUUGGGUUUAAAGGGUGGGCAGGCGGAGGUGCAAGUCAGCGGUCAAGUUGCGGGGCUCAACCCCGUACUGCCGCUGAAACUGCAUCACUUGAGUGCGCGAGAAGUCUGCGGAAUGCGUGGUGUAGCGGUGAAAUGCAUAGAUAUCACGCAGAACUCCGAUUGCGAAGGCAGCAUACCGGCGCGCAACUGACGCUCAUGCACGAAAGCGUGGGUAUCGAACAGGAUUAGAUACCCCUGUAGUC